AUGGGAUAUCUUUAGUAAUUGCGAAUGAACAAGGAUAUGCUUAGCUUGACAAAUGGAGCUAUUGGCUUUGAAUUGUAUUGUGGAAAUGUAUUACCAACAGAGGUGCAGGUGCCAGCCUAUUGAAAUAAAGCGUCAAUGAGGGUGAGAAUCCUGUUUGUCAUGUGCAGCCCUUUGUGCACGGUGUAUAUUUGCUGAGUCACACUCCUUGGCAUUGGAAUGCAAAGUGGGUGGUAAGUUUCAUGUAAAGGUAAACAUGCAAUUGAGACUGAUAGCACACAAGUACCAUGAGGGAAAUAUGAAAAGGACUUUGAAAAGAGAAUUAAAUGAGUUUGUAUUUGCUGAACACAAAGUAAACAGACUUGAUUUGCUUGGUGGGAGUGUUGCACUUGCUUGACAAGAGCUUUGGGCUGUGGGUGUAAUGAUUCUUUCUUUGCAUGCCAGUUUCUAUUUGUACAUCUGAUUACCUUUGCACAUGAAUGAUAAGUCUCCUGUGGGGGGUGGAUUGCAUGUGCAUGUAAUGAUUUGUGUUUUGAUAAAUGUGUCUGGUGUAUGUGUGUGUUCCUGUGCUUGGGGAUGCUUCCUUCCUUGGACUUACAAGCCCUGACACACACAUGCUGGCAAAAUGCUUCUGCUUGACCCGUCUUGAAACACGGACCAAGGAGUCUAACAGAUGUGCAAAGUUUGAAGGUGGUAUACCUUUGUGUGCAAUGAAAGUGUCAGCUGGGAUAUGUGCACCAGCACCCAAUUAAUUAGCGGACAGAGGUUUGAGUUGGAGCAUAUCUAUUAGGACCCGAAAGAUGGUGAACUAUGCCUGAACAGAAUGAAUUCAGAGGAAACUCUGAUGGAGGUUCGUAUCGAUACUGACGUGCAAAUCGUUCGUCAUAUUUGGGUAUAGGGGCGAAAGACUAAUCGAACCAUCUAGUAGCUGGUUCCCUCCGAAGUUUCCCUCAGGAUAGCUGGAGUUGCUCAGUUUUAUCAGGUAAAGCGAAUGAUUAGAGGAAUUGGGGACAGGUUUGUCUUUGACCUAUUCUCAAACUUUAAAUGGGUAAUAUGUAGUGGUUGCUGUAUGGAACUUCUAAGAUAAAUGGCAAUAUUGGGUGGGCCAUUUUUGGUAAGCAGAACUGGCGAUGAGGGAUGAACCUAAUGUGGGGCUAAGGUGCUUAAUUACUUGCUCAUUUGAUACCAGAAAGGGUGUUGGUUCAUUUUAACAGCAGGACGGUGGUCAUGGAAGUCGAAAUCCGCUAAGGAGUGUGUAACAACUCACCUGCCGAAUGGACUAGCCCCGAAAAUGGAUGGCGCUCAAGCGGGUGACUGAUACCCAACCAUUGUUGUAAACAACAUCAAUGUGUAGGAGGGCAUGGUGGCUUGUGACACAGCCUUUGG
rnacentral:rRNA from 1 species